GAGUCGUCGACAAGCUGGAAAGAGUGGUGUAGAUGUGGUAUCUGGGUAGCAUCUCGUUCUAUCGAUUUUGUUGCACUAAAUUGUAGUAGAUAAGGGAAUAAUUCUGUGUUACUAGUGGAUAUUAUUUGGGUUGGUGGGUUUUGGCUAAGAUGGGUGUUUGGUGGGCUAUUUGGAAUGUCAGAAUUGAUUUAGGGUUAAGGUGUGGCUCUCUGUAGAAGAGAAUAUAAGUAAAGACGGAAAUCUUUGAUUAGAAUAUGUCCAGAUUACAUUUGAUAAAGAAAUGGGGUUGUAGGCUAUUCGAGGUUUAGACAUUUGACUUGGUUUUAUGUGAACUGUCGGUAUCGAGUAGGCUAACCUUUUUAAAGGAGAGGAGGCAUUGGAUUACACAGCAUUAAUCGCUGGAUCGUUUUUAUGAAGUUAACGUUUCUAUGAAUGUUGUAAGUAACCAUUUUCUGAAAUUGCUCAUUUAAGCGUUGUUAAAUGGUAUUAUGAUGGGCUAUUGCUUAAAGACUGCAAGUUAACAUGCAAACCACUGACGGACUGAAUAAUUGAGAGUUGACGGAACGAUAUAGGGCGUGUGCGAGCAGUGUAGUCCAGUCGGACGAUCUUCAGCUCAGAAUUUGAGGAUGUCUUUUAGUUGUUUGCACGAUGGAAAACCACAUGAACUGAAAGCUUUUUAUCAAGUUUCUUUUCGCGAAAAAAGGCAAGUCAUUGGAGGAUGUCACAGCAAAUGUUCUCGUGGGAAAACGUCAGUAUUUUCUGGCUGGUUUGCAAGAUAGAAUCAAGCAUCAGGAGCAAGCGAGUCACGGUCGUCCUCUCUGCCAAAGGGUAAGUCUGUCCAGCAGUGUUCUCGUGGCCGGGAGUGAGCAGUGAGUGGACCGCCAUGAUGGACUCACCUGAGGGAGACCGUGCUCACUGGCUGACCCGCAGCAGUUCUUCACUGGCAAGCUUUAUGUUCUUGUGUACCAGCUAAAGCUGCCAGCUGAAGAACUGUUGUGGUUGGCUCUUGCCCUGCACACACUCUCCUCUCAUGGCCACCCCCCUAGCACCAGAACCUCCGAUGCCCCACAGAGAGGAGGAGGAGAGGAUCUCUUGGGCUUGAGGGAGGUAGAGCUGCAGCUGAAGAGUAGCGCUCUCUGCUUGCUCGCUGAGGCUCGAUCAGACCAGACAUCAGACACAACAUAUCUAUCUCUACUACCCACCCACUGCCCCUCUCGCUUUCUCCCCCUACCUCUCUCUACCUCCGUCUAUUCCUCCCCUCCCUCUCUCUCUCUGUCUUCUUCCAUCCCUCCUCCCCUCUGGCCAGCCUGCCUCCCCUCCUCUCCUCACUCUCGCCUGGCCAUCUCUAACUGGCUGAGCAUUUUUGCUCAGGCAUAAACAAAGGCAACUGGGCAGGGCCCGUGCUGACUCAGCCACAUUCCACACCCUGGUCACGUCCCCCCACCCUGUCCUUAUUUGGGUGCGGAGUAGGGCAGGGGGCUGCAUGAUGUUUUUACAAUGCAAACAGGAACCAAUAGCCUCCAUACAUCUGCCUCCAUCCCCCUCUCUCUCACCCCCCCUCGCUCUCUCUCUCUCUCUCUCUCUCUCUCUCUCUCUCUCUCUCUCUCUCUCUCUCUCACCCCUGCUAUCAUUACUCUCUCCUUUGUGGCUGAUGGCAGAAGAGUAGAUGAUGAGGCCUCUCCCUCUCCCCAUCUCUCCUCACUGUCCCUGGGUCUCUGACUGGGACAUGUGUUUCUGUUUAUUAGUGAAGUCACAGCGUUCUGCCAGAGAGUUGAUGCUGAAAACACUGGUUGGUCAUGGAACCAAGGCUGAUAUUUUUUUUUUAUUUAUUAUUUUUUUUAUUUUAUUUUAUUUUUUUAUUUUUUUAUUUUUUUGUAAUUUUCAUUGUUUUGUGUUUUGUUUUGUUCCCUUGCCCCAUGGUCUGAAUGCCCUUGCUGAUUUUGUUGUUGUUGUUGUAGGUUUUUGUUCGGGCUGAAUGUAACCAUAGACACGCACACCACACACACACACACACACACACACACACACACACACACACACACACACACACACACACACACACACACUUUCAUGCCACAGAGGCCAGCCGGACCUCGAUGCGUCGUAAAUCGUACUUCAAGGGCGAAAGCCGCCGCUGAAAACAGGAUAUGAAAAAAUGGCCUGCUGGAAAGUGCCAAGCCAGAUGAACACAAAGGUAGGGAAUGUUCUCUAGAUACCAGAUGCCCACGAGGAGUCCAGUCAAAGAAAGAGACAGACUUUAUUCAUUUAAAGUCCAUUCAGUUUCUGUCAGCAUCACAUAGCAUAGUGUAGCAGUACGGUGUAGUCAAAGAAUUGUUUUUCAAAAUAAAAGAUGCAUAAAAUAUUCAGGAAAUAUAAUUUCUCUUCUCUUCUCGCUCUUUCACUUUUUCUUCUUUCUUCCUACUCCCUCUCUUGUCUCGCCCUCUACACUCAUACUAUACCUGCCUAGACUCGUGCACACACACACACACACACACACACCCUGUCUACAGGAUCGCACACACACACCCUGUCUACAGGAUCGCACACCUCUUAGAUCUUCACCCUGUAAGACAUCCUACUUUGCUCAUGUAACAGAGCCGCCACACUCUGACCCCUGUGCAGGGUUUUCCCCGGUCAUGGGCCAAGGUGCCUUACCUGAUCCUCUCUAGGCUGCAGCCAAUGUGGCCCCAAGUACAUUAAAAGAUUGCAGAGGGUCCUCUCGGCUCCGGAUUUGAAGCGACACACCUAAGAAGCCUGUCUUGGUCAGAGGUUCAGAUGGUGUCUGUGGGGCUUAGACCCCAGGUUGCAUUAUUAUUAUUCUUUUCUAGAUUAAAUAUAAUUUCUGCUGUUUGUGUGCAGAGUAAAAUAUGUAUAUUUGUAUUUAUAGUGAAGAUUAGCAUGUGUGAGUGUGUCCUUGGGUGCUCUCAUGGACUAUACCUGCUUACCUGGUGCAGUCUGCCAAGAGGAUCAAGAGGUCAGACAGAUCGGCUUCUCAGAGAUCACAUCCCUUUGUCACACACACACACACACACACAAACUCACUUGCUCUGUAAUUUGGAAACUGGGUGAAGGGUCACAAGCAGGAAGUCCUUGCUUUGUCGUAUCAAUAGCCAUGUCAGUGACAUAUUUUUGAAUAAUCAGUUCAAUAAACUCCUAAGCAAAUUAA